rnacentral:sRNA from 1 species
AUUCAACUGAUACACAAGUACGUUUCUAGAGCGAUGAUAAUCUAACAUGGGCUAAAUCAUGUACUUCUGAUUGCUUGUGCCAUUCAGAUUUGAUGAUCGUGGACGGAGUGACUAUGAUGGUAUUGGCAAUCGUGACAGACCUGGCUUUGGCAGAUUUGAACGGAAUGGACAUAGUCGUUGGUGUGACAAGUCAGAUGAAGAUGAUUGGUCAAAACCACUUCCACCAAGUGAACGCUUGGAGCAGUAAGUUUUUGAAAUGUAUGUUAAUUGUUAUGAAAUUUAUUGCUUAGUAUAACAUGUAUGUAAUAAUUGUUUGAUUUCAGAGAACUGUUUUCUGGAGGAAACACGGGGAUUAACUUUGAGAAAUAUGAUGAUAUACCAGUAGAGGCAACCGGCAGUAACUGUCCUCCACAUAUUGAGAAUUUUGGCGAUAUUGACAUGGGAGAAAUUAUCAUGGGGAACAUUCAACUUACUCGCUAUACUCGUCCUACUCCAGUGCAAAAACAU